AAGGGGAGGUGCGGCUGGCCUGGUUUCCUGGCGACGCGGCGCUGCAGGCGGUUGCAUUCCCCAUCGUUACCCUCUUUCUCUUCCCGACGCGUGAGUUAGGCCGUCAUGCCUUGGCUGCUCUCAGCCCCCAAGCUGGUUCCCGCUGUAGCAAACGUCCGCGGCCUCUCAGGAUGUAUGUUGUGUUCACAGCGAAGGUACUCCCUUCAGCCUGUCCCAGAAAGGAGGAUUCCAAACAGAUACUUAGGCCAGCCCAGCCCCUUUACACACCCACACCUCCUUAGACCAGACUCGAAUUCCUGCUGGGAAGUCGGCUGAAGCUAAGGAAAUGCAGCUCACCACUGAAACCCACAAGAAAUCAGAGUUUUUCAAAGCUGUAAGGUAAGCUUAAUAGCAACCCAGUUGGUAUUAAUUUUAGUAUUUAUCUACCCUAUCAACCUACCUGUAGACUCGAGUUAUUUUUUUAAGUGGAAUUGAUAGUUUUACCAGCUUUGAAAAUUACUGAUUUCUUGUGGUGAGAUAUUUUUACAUGGUAAGCUGCAUUUUCCAGGCCUUAAACCUAGUAAUUAUACUGUCAAGAUAAUG
rnacentral:sRNA from 1 species